GGUGAGGUAUCGUGGUAGUUGGCUGUGUUUAUGACAGUUUCCCCGCUCUUGAUGCGGGUCCGCAGGUCAUAUUUGACAAUGUUGCGAGUGCGCUCCUUGUUGUAGAAGACUGCGCCAUCGUAGACCACAAAGCCAGUGCCAUC
ensembl:miRNA Gm54907 predicted gene, 44330